rnacentral:piRNA from 1 species
UGAGUUUCCUACACCAUGGGCUGCUCC